UACGUAGGUGGCGAGCGUUGUCCGGAUUUAUUGGGUUUAAAGGGUGCGUAGGCGGCUUUGUAAGUCAGUGGUGAAAUACUCUAGCUUAACUAGAGGGGUGCCAUUGAUACUGCGGAGCUUGAGUACAGAUGAGGUAGGCGGAAUUGACGGUGUAGCGGUGAAAUGCAUAGAUAUCGUCAAGAACACCGAUAGCGAAGGCAGCUUACUGGGCUGUAACUGACGCUGAGGCACGAAAGUGUGGGGAUCAAACAGG
rnacentral:rRNA from 1 species